CCUACGGGUGGCAGCAGUGGGGAAUAUUGCACAAUGGGGGAAACCCUGAUGCAGCAACGCCGCGUGAGUGAAGAAGUAUUUCGGUAUGUAAAGCUCUAUCAGCAGGGAAGAAAAUGACAGUACCUGAAUAAGAAGCACCGGCUAACUACGUGCCAGCAGCCGCGUUAAUACGUAGGGGGCAAGCGUUAUCCGGAUUUCCUGGGAGUAAAGGGAGCGUAGGCGGCUGCGCAAGUCAGAAGUGAAAGCCCAGGGCUCAACCUCGGGACUGCUUUUGAAACUGUGUAGCUAGAGUGCAGGAGAGGUAAAUGGAAUUCCUAGGGUAGCGGUGAAAUGCGUAGAUAUUAGGAAGAACACCGGUGGCGAAGGCGGCUUACUGGACUGUAACUGACGUUGAGGCUCGAAAGCGUGGGGAGCAAACAGGAUUAGAUACCCCUGUAGUC
rnacentral:rRNA from 1 species